GAUGAACGCUAGCGGCAGGCCUAACACAUGCAAGUCGAACGGUAACAGGAAUUAGCUUGCUAAUUUGCUGACGAGUGGCGCACGGGUGCGUAACGCGUAUGCAAUCUGCCUUGUACUGGAGUAUAGCCCAGGGAAACUUGGAUUAAUCCUCCAUAGUCUAUUGAUAUGGCAUCGUAUUAAUAGUAAAGGUUACGGUACAAGAUGAGCAUGCGUCCUAUUAGCUAGUAGGUGUGGUAACGGCACACCUAGGCAACGAUAGGUAGGGGUCCUGAGAGGGAGAUCCCCCACACUGGUACUGAGACACGGACCAGACUCCUACGGGAGGCAGCAGUGAGGAAUAUUGGACAAUGGGCGGGAGCCUGAUCCAGCCAUGCCGCGUGCAGGAAGACUGCCCUAUGGGUUGUAAACUGCUUUUAUACGGGAAGAAUAAGUGUUACGUGUAGCACGAUGACGGUACCGUAAGAAUAAGCACCGGCUAACUCCGUGCCAGCCGCCGCCGUAACAC
rnacentral:rRNA from 1 species